rnacentral:misc_RNA from 1 species
GUAGGUGAACCUGCGGAAGGAUCAUUUGAUGAGUAUAAACAGGACUUGAUGCUGGCUAUAUGCAUGUGCUCGGUCCUACUCAAUCUACUUAACACCUGUGCAUUUUCAAAGUUGUAGUCCUCCGUAAUGGGAGUCGUGUCUUGUAAUGAGACACUGGGACUAUGCUUUGCCCAUUAUCACAAACAUUAUUACAGUCUUGUAGAAUGUCAUUAGCCUAAGGGCUUAACUUAAUACAACUUUCAACAACGGA